UACGGGGGGGGCAAGCGUUGUUCGGAAUUACUGGGCGUAAAGGGUGCGUAGGCGGUUCGCUAAGUUAGAUGUGAAAACUCUGGGCUCAACCCAGAGCCUGCAUCUAAAACUGGCGGGCUAGAGUUCUGGAGGGGGUAGCGGAAUUCCUGGUGUAGCGGUGAAAUGCGUAGAUAUCAGGAGGAACACCCGUGGCGAAGGCGGCUCUCUGGGACGGUACUGACGCUGAGACGCGAAAGCGUGGGGAGCGAACAGG
rnacentral:rRNA from 1 species